rnacentral:lncRNA from 1 species
AAUUUGGAGAUCCUAUGUCGUUUAGCCUAUCAACACCGAAAUACCUGAACCAACCGAUCCAGCACCCUGCCGCUGUCCACUGACUCGCCUCCAAGUGCUUAGCUUUGCAGGCUGCAAAGGUUAGUCUCCUGGCAAAAUGUCAUGCGGAAUAUGCAAACUCUUGGUAUCAACAUGCUAUCGGCGCACCACCCUUUAGUCUAGUGCCAGAGCUGAGCUCACAGCCCUGGCCCUGUGAAGACAACUCCAGCGACAAUGGGAUGGACUGUCUGUCAAUGUACAGUGACAACUUCAGCUCCAUUCAACAGAGGGAACCUGCAGCCUACAGUGAACCGUACAAGUCCACUUAUCAAGAACCCUGGUCCCUUGGAGUAAGAUUGCAC